UCUAGCCACUGCUCCUGGCCAAAGUAAGGCAGCGCGCUGAAGUCCCCAGACCUCCCCAGACCUCCGCAUUAUGGCUGCUUUUCGAGUCAACGCAUGUCGGUACUGCCCCCUUUCUGUUUUCAAAAAUCGUAAGAGGUCAGUCGCAGCAUGACACCCUGAGAGAGGAACCAAGGACCAGCACCCAAGCAAGCAGCAUGGCCUUGCACCAAUAGCUUUCUCCACAAUCAAGUGUCUUCAUGAUUUAGUUUUAAAGCAAAAGCCUUCAUUGAAGUAAUGCUGAGGCCACUUUGAGCUUUUUUCAGCACCAAUUUGGUUUGAUACAAAAGCUGGUUCCCUUGCACUGUAGUAUGAAGUUCGCUGUAUGAAGUUCGAAGUUUGUUUUCACGUGGCCUA